CUUUAGUUUGAAACCCCGAAACCAGGUGAGCUACCCCGAGACAGCCUAUUAAAAUAGGGCUAACCCGUCUCUGUGGCAAAAGAGUGGGAAGAGCUCCGGGUAGAAGUGACAGACCUACCGAACCUGGUGAUAGCUGGUUGCCUGAGAAAUGGAUAGAAGUUCAGCCUCGCACACCCCAAAUCAAAAAUCUUUACCCAAGAUUAUGGGAAAAGUACGAAAGUUAGUUGAAGGGGGUACAGCCCCUUUAACAAAGGAUACAACCUUAACAGGAGAAUAAAGAUCAAAAUACAAAAAACAUCCUGUUCUAGUGGGCCUAAAAGCAGCCACCUAAACAGAAAGCGUUAAAGCUCAGACAGAAAAAAGUUUAUUAUACUGAUAACAAAUCUUAUUUCCCUAAUAAUAUCAGGCUAUCCCAUGCCCCCAUGGGAGAAAUUAUGCUAAAAUGAGUAACAAGAAGACUUGCUCUUCUCCCAGCACAAGUGUAAACCAAAUCGGACAAACCACUGGAAACUAACGAGCCCAAUUAAUAGAGGGUAAUGUAGACAACAAAAAAAUCAAGAAAAACCUACAACUCAAACAUCGUUAACCCCACACUGGAGUGCUAUAUAAAAGGAAAGACUAAAAGAAAGGGAAGGAACUCGGCAAACACAAGCCUCGCCUGUUUACCAAAAACAUCGCCUCCUGCAACUAUAUUUAAGUAUAGGAGGUCCAGCCUGCCCAGUGACUUUGGGUUCAACGGCCGCGGUAUUUUGACCGUGCAAAGGUAGCGCAAUCACUUGUCUUUUAAAUAGAGACCUGUAUGAAUGGCCAAACGAGGGCUUAACUGUCUCCCCCUUCCAGUCAGUGAAAUUGAUCUAUCCGUGCAGAAGCGGGUAUAAACAUACAAGACGAGAAGACCCUUUGGAGCUUAAGGUACAAAGUCCACCCAUGUCAAACAACUUAUUAAAAAGCAAGAACUUAAUGGAAGAUGGACAUUUACCUUCGGUUGGGGCGACCGCGGAGGAAAAACCAGCCUCCGAGUGGAGUGGGCCAAACCCCUAAAACUAAGAGAAACAUCUCUAAGCCACAGAACAUCUGACCAAUAAUGAUCCGACACACAGUCGAUCAACGAACCAAGUUACCCUAGGGAUAACAGCGCAAUCCUCUCCCAGAGUCCAUAUCGACGAGGGGGUUUACGACCUCGAUGUUGGAUCAGGACAUCCUAAUGGUGCAGCCG
rnacentral:rRNA from 1 species